rnacentral:rRNA from 1 species
GACGAACGCUGGCGGCGUGCUUAACACAUGCAAGUCGAACGGAAAGGCCCUGCUGUUGUGGGGUGCUCGAGUGGCGAACGGGUGAGUAACACGUGCGUAACCUGCCCUUGACUUUGGGAUAACUUCAGGUAACUAGGGCUAAUACCGGAUAGGAGCUCCUGCUGCAUGGUGGAGGUUGGAAAGUUUCGGCGGUUGGGGAUGGACUCGCGGCUUAUCAGCUUGUUGGUGGGGUAGUUGCUUACCAAGGCUUUGACGGGUAGCCGGCCUGAGAGGGUGACCGGGCACAUUGGGACUGAGAUACGGACCAGACUGCUACGGGAGGCAGCAGUGGGGAAUAUUGCACAAUGGGCGGAAGCCUGAUGCAGCAACGCCGCGUGCGGGAUGACGGCCUUCGGGUUGUAAACCGCUUUCGCCUGUGACGAAGCGUGAGUGACGGUAAUGGGUAAAGAAGCACCGGCUAACUACGUG